rnacentral:rRNA from 1 species
GAGUUUGAUUCUGGCUCAGGAUGAACGCUGGCGGCGUGCCUAACACAUGCAAGUCGAGCGAGAAUCUUGGAAGUGGAGACUUCGGUUGAAGCGACUAAGAGGAAAGCGGCGGACGGGUGAGUAACGCGUGGGCAACCUGCCUCUUACUAGAGGAUAGCCACCGGAAACGGUGAUUAAUACUGUAUGAAGUGCAUUUAUCGCAUGAUAGAUGUCCCAAAGAUUUAUCGGUAAGAGAUGGGCCCGCGUCUGAUUAGCUAGUUGGUAAGGUAACGGCUUACCAAGGCGACGAUCAGUAGCCGACCUGAGAGGGUGAACGGCCACACUGGAACUGAGACACGGUCCAGACUCCUACGGGAGGCAGCAGUGGGGAAUAUUCGGCAAUGGGGGGAANCCCUGACCGAGCAACGCCGCGUGAGUGAUUGAAGGUCUUCGGACUGUAAAACUUCUGUUGAAUGGGAAGAUAAUGACGUACCUUNGAG